UGGCUGCGAGCCUGGCGUCGGCAACUGGGCGGGUGAGUAAAUGUGGGAAUCUGCUUUUGGUUCGAAUAACCGAGGAAACUUGUGCUAAUACCGGAUAAGCCCUUACGGGGAAAGUUUUAAUGCCAAAAGAUGAGCCCGCACUUGAUUACUAGUUGGUAAGGUAAUGGCUUACCAGGCAACGAUCAUAGCUGUUCUUAGAGGAAGACCCAUUGGGACUGAGACACGGCCCAAACUCCUACGGGAGGGCAGGGGGAAUCUGCACAAGGGGAAACCCUGAGCAGCGAUGCCGGUGAGGAAAAGGCCCUUGGGUUGAAAACUCUUUCGUCGGGGAAAAAAUGACUGUACCCGAAUAAAAGGUCCGGCUAACUUCGUGCCAGCAGCCGCGGAAUACGAAGGGACCUAGCGUAGUUCGGAAUUACUGGGCUAAAAGUUCGUAGGUGGUUAAAAAAGUUGAUGGUGAAAUCCCAAGGCUCACCUUGGAACUGCCACAAAACUUUUUAGUAGAGUGUGAUAGAGGAAAGUGGAAUUUCUGUGUAGAGGUGAAAUUCGUAAUAUUAAAAGAACAUCAAAGCGAAGGCAACUUUCUGGAUCAUUACUGACCUGAGGAACGAAGUGGGUAGCGAAGAGGAUUAGAUACCCUCGUAUCCAUGCCGUAAACGAUGUGUGCUAGACGUUGGAAACUUAGUUUUCAGUGUCGCAGCGAAAGCAUUAAGCACACCGCCUGGGGAGUACGACCGCGGUUAAACUCAAAUGAAUUGACGGGCCCCACAAGUAGUGGAGAUGUGGUUUAAUUCAAGAUACGCCAGAACUUACAACCUUGAAUGUUCGUCGCGCUCUGAGAGAUCAAGUUUUCGUUCGGCCGGACGAAACACAGGUGCUGCAUGGCUGUCGUCAGCUCGUGUCGUGAGAUGUGUAAGUCCCGCACGAGCGCAACCUACCUUUAGGCCCAUAUGGGCCUUAAAGGACUGCCGAUCAGCUGGGUGGGGUGACGUCAGUCCUCACGGUGGACUACCGUACAACGU
rnacentral:rRNA from 1 species